rnacentral:rRNA from 1 species
CCUGAGAAACCCAAAAGAUCGAAUGGGGAGAUUCAUCGUCAGCGUGGCUGGGGGGUGGGCGGUUCGCGAUGACGCGGGACCUCGCGGUCCCCGCGGCACGCGUCCGUCCGCUCCGCGUAAUCGAAUGCCCGGCCGCGUCGGCGUGCACUUCUCCCCUAGUAGGACGUCGCGACCCGUUGGGUGUCGGUCCACGGCCCGGGCGGUAGCCUGUCUCGCGUGCGCCUCGCGGCGUUUCCAGCGGUUCAGACCCCCGGUCGCCCGACCGGCUGCCCGUCGGUACUCGCACGGUAUAUGGCCGCAAUAUAAUCGAAAGCUGCGUCCGGCCCGUCGCCAGCGUGGCAAGUGGUUCCCGGUGCGAGCGGAUCCGAGGCCGCCAUCGGACCUGGCCAGCUGUUUGGCCGACGGUGUCUCCUGGGACUGGCCAAUUGCGAAAUUGAACGUUACCGGUCGGCGACGCUACUGCUUUGGGUACUUUCAGGACCCGUCUUGAAACACGGACCAAGGAGUCUAACAUGCGCGCGAGUCAUUGGGAAUGACUCAAGCCCAAAGGCGAAAUGAAAGUGAAGAUCGUUGCCUCGCGCCCAUCGAGGGAGRAUGGGCCGCGCGGGGGCGCGCGCGUUCGCGCGGGCGCGCUCGACGCGGUCCCGCACUCCCGGGGCGUCUCGUUCUCCGUCAGUGAGGAGANACGCACCCAGAG